rnacentral:lncRNA from 10 species
AACCAGGCUGUACUUAGCUGACAGCCACUCAUGGAAGGAGCAUAUGGACUGGCUCUAGCCAGAUGGGAAUCACCCAUCUGAGCAGUCAAAAUCUGAGUUCCAGCAAGCCUUGCCACUGCAGGAUGGAGUGCUCUGGGCACCUAAAUAAACUUGAAAGGCAAUCUAGGCCAUAAGGACUCUAAGUCGUAGGUGAGUCCUUGUGCUGGGCUGGUGUCAGAGCCAGUGGACUGGGGGGACAUGUAACUUACUGAGACACCAGACACAAUGGUUAAUACAGUGCUUGCACCACCCUCCUCCAGCUCCAGGCUGCAAAAGAGACCCCUUGUGGCUCCAAAAGGGACCCCUUGCUUCUGCUUGAGGAGAGGAAAGGGAAGAGUAAAGAGGAUUUUAACUUGCAUCUUGGAUACCAGCUCAGCCACAGUAGGAUAGGGUACCAGACAAUGUUGUGAGACCCCCAUUUCAGGCCUUAGCUCCCAGAAAGUAUUUUGAGAAACUCCCUCAGCCAGAAGGGAACGCAUUGACUUGAAAGGAAGUACCCAGUCAUGGCAGAUCCCAUCACCUGUGGACUAAAGAACCCUUUGGCCCUGAAUAACCAAUGCAAUACUCAUGGAGUAUGCCAUGGGUUUUGGGUGAGACUCUGAGACAUGUUGGCUUCAGGUGAGACACAGCACUUUCCCAGCUGUGGUAGCUAUGAUGACAGACUCCAUCUACUCGAAGAAAGCAGAGGAAAAAGUAAACAGGACUUUGUCUUGCAUCUUAGGUACCAGCUAGGCCACAGGGAGAUAGAGCAUGAGGCAGGUUCUUGGGGUCCCCGAUUCCAGGCCUUGGCUUUUAGAUGGCAUUUCUGAGUCUGCCAUGGGCCAGAGGGGAGCCCACCACCCUGAAGGGUGAGUCCUAGGUCAGGCAACAUUCACCAUAAGCUGACUAAAGAGCACUUGGGCUUUAAAUGAACAUUGGUGGAAGCCUGGCAGUACUCCCCAUGGGCCUGUGUUGGUGAUGGCCGUGGGCUGAGGCUCCUCUGCUUGUGGAAAGAGGAGGGAAGAACGGGAAAAACCGUGACUCGUGGCUUAGGCUCAGGCACAGUACAAUGGAACAUCAGGUAGAUUUAGAAGGUUUUCAUUCUAGUCCCUAGCACCUGGACAGCUACUCUAGACCCAUUUGGGCCUAAGGGAACUCACUACCCUGAAAGGAAAAACACAAGACUUUCUGGCAUUGCUACCUGCUGAUUGUAGAGCCCUAGGGCCUUCAGAGAACAUAGGCGAUAACCUGGUAGUGGUUAUACUGGGCCUUGAGUGAGACAAAAUGCUAUGCUGGCUCCAGGUCUGACCCAGUGCAAUCCCAGUGGUGGUAACCACAGGGGCACUUGUAUCAACCCACAGCUCCAGGCAGCUCAACAUAGAGAGAACUCUGUUGGUUUGGAAGAAAGCAAGGGAAGAGAACAAGUGUCUCUGCCUGGUAAUCCACAGAACUCUUCCAGAUCUUAUCUAAGACCACGAAGGCGGCAUCUUAUGAGUCUGUAAGAACCACAGUGUUACCGGGCUUGGGGUGCCCCUUCAUGCAGGCAGUGCUUAGAUCACAACACCCAAGUACUUGAGAAUUCCUGGAAAGCCUUCCCAAGAAAGACCGUUACAAAUAAGCCCAGAAUGAGAAGACUACAAUAAAUACCUAACCCUUCAAUGUCCAGACACCAAAGAAUAUCUACAACCAUCAACAUAAUCCAGGAAAGCAUGACCUCACCAAACAAACUAAAUAGGGCACCAGGGACCACUCUUGGAGAAAGAGACACAUGGUACCUUUCAGACAGAGAAUUCAAAAUACCUGUUUUGAGAAAACACAAAGAAAUUCAAGAUAACUCAGAGAAGGAAUUCAAAAUUCUAUCACAUGAACUGAACAAAGAGAUUGAAAUAAUUAAAAAGAAUAAAGCAGAAAUUCUGGAUUUGAAAAAUACAGUUGAUCAAGCAGAAGAAAGAAUUAGUGACCUUUAAGAUAAACUAUUUGUAUAGUACUCCAUAGUGUAAAUAUGUCACAUUUUUCUUAGUCCAGUCUAUCAUUGAUGGACAUUUGGGUUGGUUCCAAGUCUUUGCUAUUGUGAAUAGUGGCGCAAUAAACAUACGUGUGCACGUGUCUUGAUAGCAGCAUGAUUUAUAAUCCUUUGGGUAUAUACCCAGUAAUGGGAUGGCUGGGUCAAAUGCUAUUUCUAGUUCUAGAUCCUUGAGGAAUCGCCACACUGUCUUCCACAAUGGUUGAACUAGUUUACAGUCCCACCAACCAUAUAAAAGUGUUCCUAUUUCUCCACAUCCUCUCCAGCACCUGUUGUUUCCUGACUUUUUAAUGAUCGCCAUUCUAACUGGUGUGAGAUGGUAUCUCAUUGUGGUUUUGAUUUGCAUUUCUCUGAUGGCCAGUGAUGAUGAGCAUUUUUUCAUAUGUCUGUUGGCUGCAUAAAUGUCUUCUUUUGAGAAGUGUCUGUUCAUAUCCUUCGUCCACUUUUUGAUGGGGUUGUUUGAUUUUUUCUUGUAAAUUUGUUUAAGUUCUUUGUAGAUUCUGG